rnacentral:piRNA from 1 species
UGAUUAGUGGGAUCCUGGCUUAUGUGGAA